rnacentral:rRNA from 1 species
AGCCUUUAGCAAAACAAGUAUUAAAGGUCCCGCCUGCCCAGUGAUUUAUUUAAACGGCCGCGGUAUUCUAACCGUGCAAAGGUAGCGUAAUCACUUGUCUUCUAAAUAAAGACCAGUAUGAACGGCUAAAUGAGGACAAACCUGUCUCUUGCAACCAAUCAGUGAAACUGAUCUCCCGGUCCAAAAGCCGGGAUGACCCCAUAAGACGAGAAGACCCUGUGGAGCUUUAAACAAACCACUACGCAUCACACUAAGCCGCAAUUAGUGGGGAGUUUUAAGUUGGGGCGACUUCGGAACCAAAGAAAACUUCCGAGCACAGAACCACCCAUUCUUACUAAGACCAACAAGUCAAAGUCUAAACAUGACCCAGUAAUACUGAUCAACGAACCAAGUUACCCCAGGGAUAACAGCGCCAUCUUCUUCAAGAGUUCAUAUCGACAAGAAGGUUUACGACCUCGAUGUUGGAUCAGGACACCCAAAUGGUGCAGCCGCUAUUAAAGGUUCGUUUGUUCAACGAUUAAUAGUCCUACG